CAUUACAACGUAAAAACGUCCCCGUCAGGGAGUCGGUGGUCAGCGGGCGCCUGAGCGGCGUCGGGCCCGUGCCCGGUGGGCCAGUGAUUGUAGCUUUGUGCUAGGGGGGUGGACCCAAACGAAGGUUCAAAGACAACCGGGAGGACCCACGUCACACCUGCCUGCCGGUGCGGCACCCCGACGACGACUCUCGCGUGGUCGCGACCGUCCGGCUCUCUGCCACACACAAACCACUCUGCGUACCUUUCCACGUUGCUUCCCCGUCCCGUCCACGGAGCGGGGGAGGUCCAACCCACGAAACCCUUGAUCUAGAACCGUCCGUCAGAAGUAAAAGCAGUUUUACAAAAACUUUCAACAACGGAUCUCUUGGUUCCCACAUCGAUGAAGAACGCAGCGAAAUGCGAUAAGUAAUGUGAAUUGCAGAAUCCAGUGAAUCAUCGAAUCUUUGAACGCACAUUGCGCCCUCUGGCAUUCCGGGGGGCAUGCCUGUCCGAGUGUCAUCAAACACCCUCCCCCGGGACCUUCUCAUAGCGAGUUGGCAAGGGGGGUUUUGGCCGUCUGGCUUUCCGCGGGUCCGCUUCGGCGGCCCGACCGGGCCCGGCUCAAAUUCCAGGUCUGUAGGCAGGAGCGUGCUGUCGGUCGACGUAAUGGUAACACGUAACGUCGUCCCAGCCCCAGAGUCCUUCAGAACCACAAACGGCGUGCCUCGCGCGGCGACGCCACACCAGCGGUUUGACCUCGGAUCAGGUAGGGAUACCCGCUGAACUUAAGCAUAUCAUAGGCGAGUGAAGCGGCAACAGCUCAAAUUUUAAAGCUGGCGUCCUCGACGUCCGCGUUGUAAUUUGGAGAGGCACCUUCGGUUUGGGCGCUGGCUUAUGUUCCUUGGAACAGGACGUCACAGAGGGUGAGAAUCCCGUGCCGUCGGCUGUCCCAUUCCACGUGAAGUGUCUUCGACGAGUCGAGUUGUUUGGGAAUGCAGCUCAAAAUGGGUGGUAAAUUUCAUCUAAAGCUAAAUAUUGGUGGGAGACCGAUAGCGCACAAGUAGAGUGAUCGAAAGAUGAAAAGCACUUUGAAAAUAGAGUUAAAAAGUACGUGAAAUUGUUGAAAGGGAAGCGCUUGAGACCAGACUCGGCUUCGGACGAUCAGCCUCCCUUCUGGGCGGUGCACUCGUCUUUGGUCGGGCCAGCAUCGGUUGAGACGGCGGGACAAGGGCUUCGGGAAUGUGGCUCCUCUCGGGGAGUGUUAUAGCCCGUGGUGCAAUGCCGCCCGCCUCGACCGAGGACCGCGCUUCGGCUAGGAUGCUGGCGUAAUGGUCUUCAGCGACCCGUCUUGAAACACGGACCAAGGAGUCUAACAUCUAUGCGAGUGUUUGGGUGUCAAACCCUUGCGCGGAAUGAAAGUGAACGGGGGUGGGAACCCGCAAGGGCGCACCAUCGACCGGUCCUGAUGUCUUCGGAUGGAUCUGAGUAGGAGCAUAGCUGUUGGGACCCGAAAGAUGGUGAACUAUGCCUGAAUAGGGUGAAGCCAGAGGAAACUCUGGUGGAGGCUCGCAGCGGUUCUGACGUGCAAAUCGAUCGUCGAAUUUGGGUAUAGGGGCGAAAGACUAAUCGAACCAUCUAGUAGCUGGUUCCUGCCGAAGUU
rnacentral:rRNA from 1 species